rnacentral:sRNA from 1 species
GAUCCCAGGGUCUGAGAGACAGCCAAGAUGAAUAUGGCCUUCCAAGAAGACAUGCUGACAAGAAAAGACUCAGAGUGCCCAGGAGCUUCCCCUUCUUACCAACCCUGCAACCUGGAACCCUAGCCAUACCUCUCCCUGACUGUGGACAGUACAGCCUUUGAGCUGAGCCAAGCUGCUUCCCUGGCGAUUUCCAUAAGAGUACCACUUAUCAGCACCUUGGACAGCAUACAAAUGAUUCUGCGUCUCCAGAAAUUGUCACAGACACCCCAACCUUCAGCUACCACUACCCUGAUCCAUCAGCAUCAAUACCAAGGCAACAUCCUCCACCAGAAAAAGAUUACAACUCAAGCAAAUUCACCUGGGGAUCUGGCAAGAUGGCUGAAUAGCAACAGCUCCGGUCUGCAGCUCCCAGCGAGACCAACACAGAAAUUUUGAUCAGCGGCUGGUUGAAUCCAUGGAUGCAAAACCUGUGGAUACAGAGGGACAGAGGCCUACUGUACAUGG